GAUGAACGCUGGCGGCGUGCCUAAUACAUGCAAGUCGAGCGAACAGAUGAGGAGCUUGCUCCUCUGACGUUAGCGGCGGACGUGUGAGUAACACGUGGAUAACCUACCUAUUAGUCUGGGAUAACUUCGGGAAACCGGAGCUAAUACCGGAUAAUAUAUUGAACCGCAUGGUUCAAUAGUUAAAUACGGUUUUGCUUUCUCUUAUAGAUUUUUCCGCGCCUCAUUAUCUAGUUGGUAAGGUAACGGCUUACCAAGGCAACCAUGCGUAGCCGAGCUGAGAGGGUGAUCGGCCACACUGGAACGGAGACACGGACAAGAGUCCGACGGGAGGAAGCAGUAGGGAAUCUUCGGCAAUGGGCGAAAGCAUGACGGAGCAACGCAGAGUGAGGGAUGAAGGUCUUCGGAUCGUAAAACUCUGUUAUUAGGGAAGAACAAAUGAGUAAGUAACUAUGAACGUAGUGACGGUACCUAAUCAGAAAGCCACGGCUAACUACGUG
rnacentral:rRNA from 1 species